CCUGACGACCAUAGCCUGCCGGCACCACCCCUUCCCAUCCCGAACAGGACCGUGAAACGGCAGCACGCCGAUGAUAGUGCGCAUCCGCGCGCGAAAGUAGGUCAUUGUCAGGC
rnacentral:rRNA from 1 species